UACAUCGGUGACAGUGGUGCAUGGUUGUCGUCAGCUCGUGUCGUGAGAUGUUGGGUUAAGUCCCGCAACGAGCGCAACCCCUAUUGUUAGUUGCCAUCAUUCAGUUGGGCACUCUAGCGAGACUGCCGGUAAUAAACCGGAGGAAGGUGGGGAUGACGUCAAAUCAUCAUGCCCCUUAUGACCUGGGCUACACACGUGCUACAAUGGUUGGUACAACGAGUUGCGAGUCGGUGACGGCGAGCUAAUCUCUUAAAGCCAAUCUCAGUUCGGAUUGUAGGCUGCAACUCGCCUACAUGAAGUCGGAAUCGCUAGUAAUCGCGGAUCAGCACGCCGCGGUGAAUACGUUCCCGGGCCUU
rnacentral:rRNA from 1 species